rnacentral:lncRNA from 1 species
AAAUUUCAUUUACGAGUUGAUGCAUUUAUAUAAUGUGUAUGUCGAUGACCUAUAGCUGGUACAUGACUUGGAAAAACGAACAGUGCUAAGAACGGGUCCAAGCAAAAACAAGACAGCACACUAUCGUUUGUCUUGCUUGCAUUUUGCAGCCCAGGUAACAGUGGAGAUAACUGUUGUUUUCCAGCCAGAUCUUCUAAUGAGUGGCAUGUCACGGCUGU